UACGAAGGGGGCUAGCGUUGUUCGGAAUUACUGGGCGUAAAGCGCAUGCAGGCGGAUCGCUAAGUCAGGGGUGAAAGCCCGAGGCUCAACCUCGGAACUGCCUUUGAUACUGGCGAUCUUGAGUCCGGGAGAGGUGAGUGGAACUCCGAGUGUAGAGGUGAAAUUCGUAGAUAUUCGGAAGAACACCAGUGGCGAAGGCGGCUCACUGGUCCGGUACUGACGCUGAGGUGCGAAAGCGUGGGGAGCAAACAGG
rnacentral:rRNA from 1 species